rfam:Candidatus Micrarchaeum sp. AZ1 Contig2, whole genome shotgun sequence.
AGCGAGGUAGGGUAGUCUGGAGUGCCCGCCGGGCUCAUAACCCGGAGAUCGGUGGUUCAAAUCCACCCCUCGCUA